GGAUGGACUGUGAGACCUCAGCCUCUCUCUUGACUUCCUAUCUGAUGCUGCAUCAGUAACAACCCAGCACCAUGGCCUUCGAGGCAAAGGAAAGGUAAUGGAUCUAUCAACACAUGGAGAUGCCCUAGAGAACCAGUCCUCCAGGCUCUUUAGCUAGUGGGAAAUCACUUGGAUUUAGAAACAGGAUCAGAUGAGGAAGGUGAACUGGGACUCAUCAAAGAAAGGGGACGCCAGAAAGUUCUCAGAGUUA
rnacentral:lncRNA from 1 species